UACGGGGGGGGCAAGCGUUGUUCGGAAUUACUGGGCGUAAAGGGCGCGCAGGCGGUUUAUUUUGUCAGGCGUGAAAGCCCCGGGCUUAACCUGGGAACUGCGUUUGAUACGGAUGGGCUAGAGUUCGGGAGAGGAGAGUGGAAUUCCCAGUGUAGAGGUGAAAUUCGUAGAUAUUGGGAAGAACACCGGUGGCGAAGGCGGCUCUCUGGACCGAGACUGACGCUGAGGCGCGAAAGCGUGGGGAGCAAACAGG
rnacentral:rRNA from 1 species